GUGUUUGUUUCAUCAUCACUUAUACCAAAAUUGGAAUGAUACAGAGAUUAUUAGCAUGGCUCCUAUACAAGGAUGACAUGCAAAUUUGUGAAGUGUUUCAUAGUUUA
ensembl:snRNA U6 U6 spliceosomal RNA